UCCCUGGAGGAUAAGUGGUUAGGCCACAGCACUCUCACCUCUGUGGCAUGGGUUCAAUUUCCCAGCCAGGGAA
rnacentral:tRNA from 1 species